ACUGCCGGUGACAAACCGGAGGAAGGUGGGGAUGACGUCAAAUCAUCAUGCCCCUUAUGAUUUGGGCUACACACGUGCUACAAUGGACAAUACAAAGGGCAGCGAAACCGCGAGGUCAAGCAAAUCCCAUAAAGUUGUUCUCAGUUCGGAUUGUAGUCUGCAACUCGACUACAUGAAGCUGGAAUCGCUAGUAAUCGUAGAUCAGCAUGCUACGGUGAAUACGUUCCCGGGUCUUGUACACACCGCCCGUCACACCACGAGAGUUUGUAACACCCGAAGCCGGUGGAGUAACCUUUUAGGAGCUAGCCGUCGAAGGUGGGACAAAUGAUUGGGGUGAAGUCGUAACAAGGUAGCCGUAUCGGAAGGUGCGGCUGGAUCACCUCCUUUCUAAGGAUAUAUUCGGAAC
rnacentral:rRNA from 2 species